GAGAGGAGCUUGCUCUUCUUGGAUGAGUUGCGAACGGGUGAGUAACGCGUAGGUAACCUGCCUUGUAGCGGGGGAUAACUAUUGGAAACGAUAGCUAAUACCGCAUAACAAUGGAUGACACAUGUCAUUUAUUUGAAAGGGGCAAUUGCUCCACUACAAGAUGGACCUGCGUUGUAUUAGCUAGUAGGUGAGGUAAUGGCUCACCUAGGCGACGAUACAUAGCCGACCUGAGAGGGUGAUCGGCCACACUGGGACUGAGACACGGCCCAGACUCCUACGGGAGGCAGCAGUAGGGAAUCUUCGGCAAUGGGGGCAACCCUGACCGAGCAACGCCGCGUGAGUGAAGAAGGUUUUCGGAUCGUAAAGCUCUGUUGUAAGUCAAGAACGGGUGUGAGAGUGGAAAGUUCACACUGUGACGGUAGCUUACCAGAAAGGGACGGCUAACUACGUGCCAGCAGCCGCGGUAAUACGUAGGUCCCGAGCGUUGUCCGGAUUUAUUGGGCGUAAAGCGAGCGCAGGCGGUUUGAUAAGUCUGAAGUUAAAGGCUGUGGCUCAACCAUAGUUCGCUUUGGAAACUGUCAAACUUGAGUGCAGAAGGGGAGAGUGGAAUUCCAUGUGUAGCGGUGAAAUGCGUAGAUAUAUGGAGGAACACCGGUGGCGAAAGCGGCUCUCUGGUCUGUAACUGACGCUGAGGCUCGAAAGCGUGGGGAGCGAACAGGAUUAGAUACCCUGGUAGUCCACGCCGUAAACGAUGAGUGCUAGGUGUUGGAUCCUUUCCGGGAUUCAGUGCCGCAGCUAACGCAUUAAGCACUCCGCCUGGGGAGUACGACCGCAAGGUUGAAACUCAAAGGAAUUGACGGGGGCCCGCACAAGCGGUGGAGCAUGUGGUUUAAUUCGAAGCAACGCGAAGAACCUUACCAGGUCUUGACAUCCCGAUGCUAUUUCUAGAGAUAGAAAGUUACUUCGGUACAUCGGUGACAGUG
rnacentral:rRNA from 1 species